GGCUACGUGUAGGGUCCUCGGGGCCAACCUCCCACCCGUGUUGCCCGAACCUAUGUUGCCUCGGCGGGCCCCGCGCCCGCCGACGGCCCCCCUGAACGCUGUCUGAAGUUGCAGUCUGAGACCUAUAACGAAAUUAGUUAAAACUUUCAACAACGGAUCUCUUGGUUCCGGCAUCGAUGAAGAACGCAGCGAAAUGCGAUAACUAAUGUGAAUUGCAGAAUUCAGUGAAUCAUCGAGUCUUUGAACGCACAUUGCGCCCUCUGGUAUUCCGGAGGGCAUGCCUGUCCGAGCGUCAUUGCUGCCCUCAAGCCCGGCUUGUGUGUUGGGCCCCGUCCCCCCCGCCGGGGGGACGGGCCCGAAAGGCAGCGGCGGCACCGCGUCCGGUCCUCGAGCGUAUGGGGCUUCGUCACCCGCUCUAGUAGGCCCGGCCGGCGCCAGCCGACCCCCAACCUUUAAUUAUCUCAGGUUGACCUCGGAUCAGGUAGGGAUACCCGCUGAACUUAAGCAUAUCAAUAAGACGGAGGAAUCCG
rnacentral:rRNA from 1 species